rnacentral:rRNA from 1 species
CUAGUUGAUCCUGCUAGACCCAACUGCUAUCGGGAUUGGACUAAGCCAUGCUAGUCGAACGCUUCUUCAUGCUGAAGCGUGGCGAACUGCUGAGUAACACGUAGGCAACCUUCCCUUCGGAGGGGCACAUGCGCGGGAAACUGCGUGUAAUUCCCCAUAGAUGAUGGAUACUGGAACGUGCCAUCUUCGAAAAGCGUUUAUUAGCCAUGAUAUAACCGCGCCGAAGGACGGGCCUGCGCCGGAUUAGCCUGUUGGCGAGGUAGUGGCUCACCAAAGCGAUGAUCCGUAGGGGCCAUGUGAGUGGGAGCCCCCAGAAGGGACCUGAAACACCGUCCCUAGCCCUACGGGGUGCAGCAGGCGCGAAACCUCCACAAUGAUCGAAAGAUCGAUGGGGUAAUCCCGAGUGCUACCAGAGGGUAGCUUUUUUUCAAGUAUAAAUAGCUUGGAGAAUAAGGAGAGGGCAAGGCUGGUGCCAGCCGCCGCGGUAAAACCAGCUCUCCGAGUGGUUGGGACGAUUAUUGGGCUUAAAGCGCACGUAGCCGGUCUCGCCCGUCUCGAGUGAAAGCUUGCCGCCUAACGGUGAGAACUGCUUGAGAUACCGCGAGACUCGGGGCCGGGAGAGGCAAGGGGUACUCCAGGUGUAGGGGUGAAAUCCGUUAAUCCUUGGGGGACCACCGGUGGCGAAGGCGCCUUGCUAGAACGGGCCCGACGGUGGGGAACGAAAGCUAGGGGAGCAAAGCGGAUUAGAUACCCGCGUAGUCCUAGCCGUAAACGAUGCGGACCAGGUGUUGGGCCAGCUUUGUGCUGAUCCAGUGCCGAAGCGAAAGCGUUAAGUCCGCCGCCUGGGGAGUACGGUCGCAAGACUGAAACUUAAAGGAAUUGACGGGGGAAUACCACAAGGGGUGAAGCUUGCGGUUUAAUUGGACCCAACACCGGGAAACUUACCAGGAGCGACAGCUGGAUGAUUGUCAGGCUGAUGACCUUACUCGACUAGCUGAGAGGCGGUGCAUGGCCGUCGCCAGUUCGUGCUGUGAAGUGUCCUGUCAAGUCAGGCAACGAACGAAACCGACGCUACUAAUUGCGAGUAUGUCUCUUCGAGGCACACGCACAUUAGUGGGAUUGCCUGUGAUAAAUAGGAUGAAAGGGUCGGCCACGGCAGGUCAGUAUGCCCCGAAUCUCCUGGGCCACACGCGAGCUGCAAUGGAUGGCACAAUGAGUUGCGACACCGAAAGGUGAAGCUAAUCUCCCAAAUCCUUCCUCAGUUUGGACUGUCGGCUGCAACUCGCCGACACGAAAAUGGAAUCCCUAGUAACCGCGUGUCAUCAGCGCGCGGUGAAUACGUCCCUGUUCCUUGUACACACCGCCCGUCGCUGCACUUGAAUGGAGACUGGGUGAGGUCCUGUCGUCAUGUCAGGCUCGAACCUUGCUUCCGUAAGAGGGCAGAAGUCGUAACAAGGUA